ensembl:lncRNA
UGAGAUUCAGUGUAGAAGUUAGGACUGCAGAGUUCAGAUGCAAUCUGUGAGCCCAGAUGUCUGAAAGUGAGAAAUCGUAGCUGUGGCAUCUGGAUCCUCCACAGACUCCAAAAAGACACAUAGAAGCUCUUCAAAAAUCUUUCAGUUCUGCAAGCCUUCGUUAUAGAAUCACACAAUCAUAGUGGCUGGAAAGAAUCUCUGGAGAUCCUCUAGUCCAAUCCCCUGCUAAAGCGAGUUCCCUACAGUAGGUUGCACAGGAAAGCAUCUGGGUGGGCUCUGAGUAUCUCCAGAGAAGGAGACUCCACAACCUCUCUGGGCAGCCUGUUUCAGUGCUCUGUCACCCUCAGACUGAGUAAGAUCUUUUUCAUAUUCAGAAUUCAUCCAUUAAAAAGAAAAACUAUAAUAAAAAAAUAUAAAAUUGCUAAAUUGCUAAGGG